rnacentral:rRNA from 1 species
GAUGAACGCUGGCGGCGUGCCUAAUACAUGCAAGUCGAGCGAACAGACGAGGAGCUUGCUCCUCUGACGUUAGCGGCGGACGGGUGAGUAACACGUGGAUAACCUACCUAUAAGACUGGGAUAACUUCGGGAAACCGGAGCUAAUACCGGACAAUAUAUUGAACCGCAUGGUUCAAUAGUGAAAGACGGUUUUGCUGUCACUUAUAGAUGGAUCCGCGCCGCAUUAGCUAGUUGGUAAGGUAACGGCUUACCAAGGCAACGAUGCGUAGCCGACCUGAGAGAGUGAUCGGCCACACUGGAACUGAGACACGGUCCAGACUCCUACGGGAGGCAGCAGUAGGGAAUCUUCCGCAAUGGGCGAAAGCCUGACGGAGCAACGCCGCGUGAGUGAUGAAGGUCUUCGGAUCGUAAAACUCUGUUAUUAGGGAAGAACAAAUGUGUAAGUAACUAUGCACGUCUUGACGGUACCUAAUCAGAAAGCCACGGCUAACUACGUG